rnacentral:rRNA from 1 species
UACGUAGGGGGCAAGCGUUGUCCGGAAUUAUUGGGCGUAAAGCGCGCGCAGGCGGCCUUGUAAGUCUGGUGUUUAAGCUCGGGGCUUAACCCCGAUUCGCAUCGGAAACUGCAAAGCUUGAGUACAGAAGAGGAAAGUGGAAUUCCACGUGUAGCGGUGAAAUGCGUAGAGAUGUGGAGGAACACCAGUGGCGAAGGCGGGUCGUCCUGGGACGGUACGUGG